rnacentral:miRNA from 3 species
UUAGAUGAACAUCAACAAACA